rnacentral:sRNA from 1 species
GCCGGGCGAGGUGGCGAGCGCCUGUAGUCCCAGCUACUUGGGAGGCUGAGGCAGGAGAAUGGCGUAAACCCGGGAGGCGGAGCUUGCAGUGAGCUGAGAUCCGGCCACUGCACUCCAGCCUGGGCGACAGAGUGAGACUCUGUCUCAAAAAAAAAAAAAGACAGAGCCUUGCUGUCGCUCAGGCUGGAGUAAAGUGGCAUGAUCUUGGCUCACUACAGCCUCUGCCUCCCGGGUCCAGGCAAUUCUCCUGCCUCAC